rnacentral:rRNA from 1 species
ACGGAGGGUGCAAGCGUUAUCCGGAUUUAUUGGGUUUAAAGGGUGCGUAGGCGGUAGAGUAAGUCAGUGGUGAAAGCCUGUUGCCUAACAACAGAACUGCCAUUGAUACUGCUUUGCUUGAGUAUAGAUGAGGUAGGCGGAAUUAAUAGUGUAGCGGUGAAAUGCUUAGAUAUUAUUAAGAACUCCGAUAGCGAAGGCAGCUUACUAAACUAUAACUGACGCUGAGGCACGAAAGUGUGGGGAUCAAACAGG